UACAGAGGUCUCAACCGUUGUUCGGAUUCAUUGGGCGUAAAGGGUGCGUAGGCGGCUUCCUAAGUUUGAUGUGAAAUCCUGGGGCUCAACCCUGGAACUGCAUUGAAUACUGGGAGGCUAGAGUACUGGAGAGGAAACUGGAAUUUACGGUGUAGCAGUGAAAUGCGUAGAGAUCGUAAGGAAGACCAGUGGCGAAGGCGAGUUUCUGGACAGUUACUGACGCUGAGGCACGAAGGCCAGGGGAGCAAACGGG
rnacentral:rRNA from 1 species